CGACCUCUGAUCGGGAAAGAUCACCCGCUGAGUUUAAGCAUAUCACUAAGCGGAGGAAAAGAAACUAACGAGGAUC
rnacentral:rRNA from 1 species